CCUACGGGUGGCAGCAGUGGAGAAUAUUGGACAAUGGGGGCAACCCUGAUCCAGCCAUGCCGCGUGUGUGAAGAAGGCCCUCGGGUUGUAAAGCACUUUCAGUGAGGAAGAACGCCUGGUGGUUAAUACCCAUCAGGAAAGACAUCACUCACAGAAGAAGCACCGGCUAACUCCGUGCCAGCAGCCGCGGUAAUACGGAGGGUGCGAGCGUUAAUCGGAAUUACUGGGCGUAAAGCGCGCGUAGGUGGCUUGAUAAGCCGGUUGUGAAAGCCCCGGGCUCAACCUGGGAACGGCAUCCGGAACUGUCAAGCUAGAGUGCAGGAGAGGAAGGUAGAAUUCCCGGUGUAGCGGUGAAAUGCGUAGAGAUCGGGAGGAAUACCAGUGGCGAAGGCGGCCUUCUGGACUGACACUGACACUGAGGUGCGAAAGCGUGGGUAGCAAACAGGAUUAGAUACCCCAGUAGUC
rnacentral:rRNA from 1 species